GCUAGCUACAGGCUUAACACAUGCAAGUCGAGGGGCAGCAUGGUCUUAGCUUGCUAAGGCCGAUGGCGACCGGCGCACGGGUGAGUAACGCGUAUCCAACCUGCCUUACACUCUUGGACAGCCUUCUGAAAGGGAGAUUAAUACAAGAUGUUAUCAUGAGUAAGCAUUUUCGCAUGAUUAAAGGUUUACCGGUGUAAGAUGGGGAUGCGUUCCAUUAGAUAGUAGGCGGGGUAACGGCCCACCUAGUCUUCGAUGGAUAGGGGUUCUGAGAGGAAGGUCCCCCACAUUGGAACUGAGACACGGUCCAAACUCCUACGGGAGGCAGCAGUGAGGAAUAUUGGUCAAUGGACGAGAGUCUGAACCAGCCAAGUAGCGUGAAGGAUGAAGGUUCUAUGGAUUGUAAACUUCUUUUAUACGGGAAUAAACGAAUCCACGUGUGGAUUUUUGCAUGUACCGUAUGAAUAAGGAUCGGCUAACUCCGUGCCAGCAGCCGCGGUAAUACGGAGGAUCCGAGCGUUAUCCGGAUUUAUUGGGUUUAAAGGGAGCGUAGAUGGGUUGUUAAGUCAGUUGUGAAAGUUUGCGGCUCAACCGUAAAAUUGCAAUUGAUACUGGCAGUCUUGAGUACAGUUGAGGUAGGCGGAAUUCGUGGUGUAGCGGUGAAAUGCUUAGAUAUCACGAAGAACUCCGAUUGCGAAGGCAGCUUACUAACCUGUAACUGACAUUGAUGCUCGAAAGUGUGGGUAUCAAACAGGAUUAGAUACCCUGGUAGUCCACACGGUAAACGAUGAAUACUCGCUGUAGGCGAUAUACAGUCUGCGGCCAAGCGAAAGCAUUAAGUAUUCCACCUGGGGAGUACGCCGGCAACGGCGAAACUCAAAGGAAUUGACGGGGGCCCGCACAAGCGGAGGAACAUGUGGUUUAAUUCGAUGAUACGCGAGGAACCUUACCCGGGCUUAAAUUGCAACCGAAUAUGGCGGAAACGCUAUAGCUAGCAAUAGCGGUUGUGAAGGUGCUGCAUGGUUGUCGUCAGCUCGUGCCGUGAGGUGUCGGCUUAAGUGCCAUAACGAGCGCAACCCUUGCCGAUAGUUACUAACAGGUCAUGCUGAGGACUCUGUCGGGACUGCCAUCGUAAGAUGUGAGGAAGGUGGGGAUGACGUCAAAUCAGCACGGCCCUUACGUCCGGGGCUACACACGUGUUACAAUGGGGGGUACAGAGGGCUGCUACCACGCAAGUGGAUGCCAAUCCCAAAAACCUCUCUCAGUUCGGAUUGAAGUCUGCAACCCGACUUCAUGAAGCUGGAUUCGCUAGUAAUCGCGCAUCAGCCACGGCGCGGUGAAUACGUUCCCGGGCCUUGUACACACCGCCCGUCAAGCCAUGGGAGCCGGGGGUACCUGAAGUGCGUAACCGCAAGGAGCGCCCUAGGGUAAAACUGGUGACUGGGGCUAAGUCG
rnacentral:rRNA from 1 species